AUUGAACGCUGGCGGCAGGCUUAACACAUGCAAGUCGAACGAGUGGCGGACGGGUGAGUAAUUCUUGGGAAUCUAGCUUAUGGAGGGGGAUACCUACGGGACCCUGUAGCUAAUACCUCGUACCCUAGGAUGAGCCCAAGUGGGAUUAGGUAGUUGGUGCGGUAAAGGCUCACCAAGCCGACGAUCUCAAGCUGGUCUACGAGGAUGACAAGCAACACUGGGACGGAGACACGGCACAGACUACUACGGGAGGCAGAAGUGGGGAAUAUUGCGAAAGGGGGGAAACAGGACGAAGCAAUGCCGCGUGAAUGAAGAAGGCCUUCGGGUUGUAAAGUUCUUUCGGUAGGGAGGCGUUAACGACAGAAGAAGCACCGGCUAACUCCGUGCCAGCAGCCGCGGUAAUUC
rnacentral:rRNA from 1 species